rnacentral:lncRNA from 1 species
GCCCGGGCACCCUCCCCCCCGCCUCGGCCCUCGGCCGGGCCAGCUCCCGUCCCUCCCUCCCUGCCACAUCCCGACCCGCCCGCCGCCCCUUUCUUACCGGCAGGGCGUGCAGGCUUGGCGCGGCGGAAGGAGCCGACUGGAGAGGCGGCCUCCCCGGCGCCCGGGCCCCGCGGUCGGCGUCCUCGGGGCUCCGGGGCGUGUGUGGGCUGUUGGGGGGGUGGUGCGGCGGUAAAGCAGCAGUCCGCGAGGAGGGAAGAGGGGGAAGGGGAAGGACGCGGAGGGGAAGGGAAAGCCCCGGCGGCCCGCUCCGACGUGCCGCGAUCCCCCUGCAGAGCGGCUCCAACAAUCAAUUCAUUAUCGAAGCACCAAACAACUGCGAGGGCCAGCGAAAGCGACAAGUAAGCAGCGACCGUCUUCCCCGCGGCCACGCGCGCGCGCCCACUCUUGCCGCUUAUCGGCUCCCGGCCGCCGCCAUGACGCCGAGAGAGCGAGCGCAACCGUCUCCNNNNNNNNNNNNNNNNNCGCCGCCACCGAGGUCGCCGUCGCCUCCGCCUCCCCGCGACAUUUCCCAGAGUCCUGCUGACCUCUGAGCCAGGCAGCUCUCUUGCGUUCCUGUUAAAGGCUCUGCCCCUGUGGCUCCAGGUGCCCCCUCGGAGGCAGGAGAGUCAGGAAUAGGAGGAAGAGGGGACCUCACCGGGCAAGGGGGACCGCACUUGCUGGCUGUUCCCCUUCUCACUCGCUGCCCAGGGUAUUUUUAUCAGAAGAAACGGUGAGCUUCACUUCUCUUACUUCGCCUAAAGACUCCCCCGUCUCAAACCGAUUCCUCCUAGCUCGGAUUCCUCCAUUUGCAGAAAUGCUCAGACACGUCUGCGUCUGUUGCGUCCAGGGGGCUCUCUCCCUAGUCACCAGUGAUGAUGAGGUGAUGAUGGGGAGUGGUGGCUGCCAGGUUAAGGCAGAAGAGAUUAUCUUUAGACGGCAGAUUCUGGUGGAGCUCUCGCUUCACAAAUGUUUUAGCAGUUGUUCUUGAAGGGAGAAUGCAUGUCAUGAAAUUCAGAGGAUAGCUUCAAAAGUUCUUGAGUAUAUUAUGAGAGGAGAACAUGAAA